ACUGGAAUCAGCAACUCCCUGGAACUCGGGCCUCUGGCCCCGUCCCUCUUUUCUCCGGCAGGGACGCAGGAUGCCUUGGUGCACUCUAGAGACGGGGACCGGAGGGUGCAGCGCGCCUGGGUGGGGCGAAGGGCGCCGGUCUCCUCACGCCCUCUGACUUUAGGAUACCAGACAGUGUCUCUUCAACCCCACCCCAGGCGCAGGUUUCCAGAAGGCGGGGUGGGUGGGGCCCCCGAUUUCCAGAAGGCGAGUUACCUAGCAGGUGUGUGGGGUGGGCAUUGCUAUUCGGAGAAAAAUCAAGACGUUCCCUUCAGUCCUCCCUCGGUGUUAACGUCUGCUCCAGCUCGCAGCCCGCUGCUGGGCAUUUUAUUAAUGCUUUUACGAGUUAGAAGAGUUGGGAUAAUUUGCCAUCUGGAGUUUCUCUGCCUUGCUGAUCUGAGCUCAGACCUGCCAAUUUACCAGAGAUAAUUGAUAACACCCUGUAACAGCUGAGAGGAAAAUGGAAGAAACGGAGAUACUUUUAGUGAAGCAGAAUAAACCACUGAACAGGAAAAAUGAGGAAGCUGUGAGUACCAGUGGAAGGAACGAGCCAGGAAGAGGGACUGGAACCAUCUCAGAAGCCAUGCCCCUCAGGCUGGAACUUGCCCUGUCUCCUCGCAGAUGAGUCUCUUCUUUCCGCCAGCUACCUCUUGUGUUUAAGAAUUAAAGGAAGAUGAGCUAGGAAUCAAGAAAUACGCAGAACUGAUUCCUGUCACUGGCGCCACCCUGCCACUUGCCCAGAGCUGUGGUAUAAAUUUUUUUAAUAGGCUGAAAUAAAAAUAUGAAUAGCAUUUUGGUAUUAAGCAUUAAAUUGAUAAAGGCUAUGAGAUACACCUGCUCUCAACCAUGUUAAUUUUUUAUUAUUGGUAUUAAUAAAUUAUUACUUACUAACAUAUUAACAAGAAUUGCAUUGAGAAACAAAGCAUCCACAGGCCAAAUCUUCUGAAUUUCAAAUGUUUAUAUUAAUGCGUUGUAUUCUAGAAAAGUAGAAUUGUCUUAAGUAGCUUUGUAAUAUAAAGUCAUCUAUCAGCCCAUUACACCUAUUAGAAUGUUUUAACCUUUAUUUCCCACUUUUUUGUUUCUAGACUGAGUGUACUUGGUCUGGUAUUUGUGGCAUAACUUACGGAACACAUAAGAAUGAUACAGAUACUAUUUAAUGAUGACCUAAUACAAGCUUAGAUAGCUAAGGUGAAAGCUUCUAUGGCCUUAACAUUUUCCUCUUGAAGAAUGUAUUUUCUGUAAUAAAAUACAGUGGCUACUUGAAAUCUAUAAACUUAUGUGAGGUCUGGAUAAAUCUGAGCAACUUUCUUCUUUGUGCUCCAGGAACCUACGCACUAUAUAUAUAAAUAAAGCUUAAGUAAACAUCACUGCAA
rnacentral:lncRNA from 1 species